rnacentral:lncRNA from 1 species
GCGGAAACAAUAAAUAAAACAUAAAUAACAUAAGAUAAUGUAUAGAGUGCCACCUGGCACAUACAUGUCAACUCAAAUUAACGUAAGGAAUCUCCAAGAUCCGGAAACCCACGGGCAACACAGGCUAAGAGUAAACAUAUUACAAUGCUCUAACAUCCCGAAGUGUCUAUGCCAAACGAGUAUACGAAAGAAAACUAGUAACUACAGGUAGAAUAGAGGAAUACUCUUCCGCUAUGCGGAUGCAGCACAUGCAUACCUCAAGACUCCAAAGCAACUUCGAAUCCCUAAUAGCGCGCCGGUCCAGAAGUACCUGGAUCUGCACAACAAAAGUGUGCAUAAGAGUAGCAUGAGUACACCACGACGGUACUCAGUAAGUGCGAAGCCUAACCUCAAUGGAGUAGUGACGAGGAAGAUCGAGGCCCCUGUUGAGAUAAAAAUAAAAUAAUAUGAAAUGAAAUAACAGUAGAAAAUACAUAAAUCUCGAAUAUCUAACAACAAUUAGAAGAACGGAAUAGACUAUAUUACAACUCUACAAAAACAAGAAACAAUCGUUACAGGUUAAUUAUCAUCGGGGAUCUCCAAGUACCUAGAGGAUCUCCCAGUAUCCUCAUCAUAGACGCAAGGGAUCUCCAAGUAUCUCGAGGAUCUCUUAGUAUCCUCCAGUAAUCAGUCCUACCCUGGGAUCUCUUAGUAUCCGCCAGAAAGUAAAUUUUGCGCUGGGGAUCUCUUAGUAUCCUCCAGAAAAUAAAAUCUGCACUGGUGAUCUCUUAGUAUCCGCCAGUCAUAUAAUCCAGUGCCGGGGAUCUCUUGGUAUCCCGCACUUCCAAACCUCGAAACCAAAAUACGAAUAUGGGGAGCUCCCGGUAUGCCUUCCCGUAGUCCCAAUAGUAAAUACACCACAACAUACCAAUAUUUUACGGCAAUGAUAAAAUACGAACAGGGGGAGCUACCGGGAUGCCAUCCCGUAGUCCCAAUAGUUAAUAGACCACAAAAAACCAAUAUUAACGGCAAGGAAGCGAAAUGCGAACAACAAAUAAAAUCGAGAAUAUAACAUGCUUCACAAGAAGGACAAAUAUUGCAAUUUAACCAAAUAAGACAAGUAAGUUUCUAACAUGCUUUAGAAAAGAAAACAGAUACUACCAUUUAGAUAAGUUGAUCAAAUAAUUACUAACAUGCUUCUCCUACGUCAAAACAAGUGAAGUAUCAUUGUUAACAAUUAAAUAUGUGAAGAAACACAUUCUAAAUAAACCAAGUAAGGUGAAUUUUCAACAACUAGCAUAAGUACACACCCGUCACCUAGUGCACAAGGCAUUUAAACAAUGACAAGGAUAUCCUAAGGGGUAAGUCCCCCACACAAAGUUAGGUAAACCACUUAACUCAAUUUGGUAUAAAACCGCUAAGAAACAACGCCCUUGCCACGAGUUUCUGAUUCCGAGUGGCCCAAAUCUAUUCAAACCAAUUAUAUAUUGUAAAUAACAUCGCAAGCAAUUGAUUACACUAUUAAAAGUAAAGCUAAGGCGCGAAAAUAGAUAAAAUGACCAAAAUUCCCCUCAGGCUAGCGUCUCGGAAUCAAAUAAUUUUUAGAUUUUCAGAAACCUCGUACUCUCACGAGUUUAGCCAUAUAAAAAUCUCCCAAAUCGGAGAUUAAAUGCCUCUUCAAAUCAUCAAAGUUAGGUCUAAGAAUAUUACCCCAAAUUUUCAUUCAAAUCCGAAAUUAAAGCUUGAAUUCGAGAUUAGAUUAGCGGGUAAUAAUCAUAAAGGAUAAAGGAAUUGCUACCCAAUGUUUGCCAUUGAAAACUCCUCGAAAAAUCUCCCAAAACUGAUCUCUCUAGCUUGAGUUUUUGUAAAAAUGGAAGAAGGGUUCGUUUUUGAAAUAUAUGAAUUGGUCAGGGAUUUCUUCAUCGCGAACGCAGAGAGGGGGAUCGCGUUCGCGGAGAUGAAAAAUUCAAGAGGAUAAGGUUGCUCUUCGUGAAUGCGAGGAAAGGGCUGCGAACGCGAAGGCUUGGUAUUGGAACCUACGCGAACGCGACAAGGAACACACGAACGCAUAGAAGGGAAAAAGGAGGGGUCCAGGACCGACCCUACGCGAACGGGUUGGGUAAGGACGCGAACGCGAAAGAGAGGGGAGCUAGGCUUCGCGAACGCGUGAAGAAGGAAGCGAACGCGGUGAAUGGAAAAGGGAACGCUUCGGGAACGCAGGGCUUCCUUCACGAACGCGAAGAAGGAUAGCAGACCUGCAAUUUUUCUCCUGCAAUUCUAAACUCCAAAUUGCUCCGUUGAGCAUCCGAAACACACCCGAGGCCCUCGGGACCUCAACUAAACCUACGAAAAUAUCUCAUAACCCCAUCCAAACUCGUACCAAUCCUUGAACCACAUAAAACAACGCCGAAUACUCGAAUUAGUUAAUGAUUUCAACUUAAAAACUUCAAAACUUAACCAAACUCGCUUUCGCUUCAAAACCUAACCAAACACGUCUGAUUCACGUGAAAUUUUGCACACACCUCCCAAAUGAUAUGACGGUGCUACAAAAACUUCCAAAAUCCCGUUCCGGCCCUCGGAUCAAAAUUUCACUAAUGGACUGGAAACUUCAAAAUUCGAACUUUCGGCAUUUAAAGCCUAAAUGAGCUACGGACAUCCAAAAUAUAUUCCGAACACGCUCCCAACCCCGAAAUCACCUAAUAGAGCUAAUGGAACAAUCAAUUUUUCAUUGCGAGGUCGUCUUGACACUAUUCUGAUUACAGACCAAUUUCCAACACUUACGCUCUCAUUUAGGGACUAAGUAUCCCGAAACACUCCGAAUUCUAUUACCGAACAUCCCGGAAAACCAAAAUAGCAGAAAUGAACUUAGAGAAGGCAGUUAAUCGGGAAACGGGGCAUAAAUUCCAAAGACACCGUCCGGGUCGUCACAUCCUCCUACACUUAAACAUUCAUUCGUCCUCGAACGAGCAUAGAGAACAUNNNNNNNNNNNNNNNNNNNNNNNNNNNNNNNNNNNNNNNNNNNNNNNNNNNNNNNNNNNNNNNNNNNNNACUGCAGACGAGCAUAGAGAACAUACCUGAAGUAGCAUAUAGAUGAGGGUAUCGUCUGCGCAUAUCUUGCUCGGUCUCCCAAGUUGCCUCUUUGGCCGGCUGACCCCGCCAGUGCACCUUUACUGAAGCUAUAUCCUUUGACCUGAGCUUUCGAACUUGUCUAUCCAAUAUUGCCACUGGCUCCUCAAGAUUGGACAAGUCAUUAUCCAACUGGACUGAAGUGAACUCCAACACGUGAGACGGUUCACCAUGAUACCUCCGAAGCAUCGAAACAUGAAAUACAGGAUGAACCCCGGCCAAACUGGGAGGUAAAACAAGCUCAUAAGCAACCUUCCCAACUGCUCCUCAACAUAGGACAAGUCAUUGUCCAACUGGACUGAAAAAAACUCCAACACGUGAGACGGGUCACCUGAUACCUCCGAAGCAUCGAAACAUGAAAUACGGGAUGAACCCCAGCAAACUGGGAGGUAAAGCAAGCUCAUAAGCAACCUUCCCAACCUGCUUCAAAAUCUCAAAUGGGUGAACUCUAACAUGUGAGACGGGUCAGCAUGAUAACUUCGAAGCAUCGAAACAUGAAAUACUGGAUGAACCACGGCCAAACUGGGAGGCAAUGCAAGCUCAUGAGAAACUUUCCCAAUCUGCCUCAAAAUCUCAAAUGGGCCAAUGAACCUUAGGCUCAACUUUGCUUUCUUUCCAAACCUCACGACGCCUUUCAUAGGCGAGACCCGAAGCAAAACACGCUCACCAACCAUAAAUGAAACAACACAAACCUUCUGGUCCGCAUAACUCUUCUGCCUGGACUCGACCGCAUGGAAUCUAUCCUGAAUCACCUUAACCUUCUCAACCGCAUCCUAAACCAAGUCAGUGCCCAAUAACCUGGCCUCGCCCGGCUCAAACCAACCCGCCGGGGAUCUGUAUCUCCUACCAUAUAAGGCCUCAUAAGGCACCAUCUGAAUACUGGACUGAUAACUGUUGUAUGCAAACUCGGCCAAUGGCAAGAAUUGAUCCAAGAACUUCUAAACCCAAUCGCGCACGUACGGAGCAUAUCCUAAAGAAUCUAAAUAGUGCGCUUGGACUGUCUGUCCAUCUGAGGGUGAAAAGCUGUACUCAUGGCCACCUGGUAUCCAACUCAUGCUGGUCGGCUCUCUAGAAUCGUGAUGAAAACAUUGAACCCCUGUCUGAGAUGAUGGGAACUGGAACGCCAUGCUGAUGGACAAUCUCCCUGAUAUAAAUCCCUGCUAACCGCUCUGCUGAGUACGAAGUGCACACUGGAAUGAAAUCGGACUUGGUCAGCCGAACCACAACAACCCAAAUAGAAUCAAACUUCCUCGCCAUCAGAGGGAGACCAAUCACAAAAUCCAUGGCGAUAUUCUCCCAUUUCCACUCCAGAAUCUCCAUCUGCUGGAGUAAUCCUCCCGGUCUCUGAUGCUCAGCCUUCACUUGCUGACAGUUGAGGCAUCUAGCUAUGAACUCUACUAUGUCCUUCUUCAUCCGCCUCCACCAGUAAUGCUGCCUCAGAUCCUGAUAUAUCUUCGUGCCACCCGGAUGGAUGGAGUACCGCGAGCUAUGGGCCUUGGUCAAUAUCAACUCCCUAAUAUCAUUGACAUCGGGCACACAAAUACGAUCCUGCAUCCUCAAUAUCCUGUCAUCUCCAAUAGUUGGGUUUUUAAAUUUGACAAAUCCUAUACAAUUGAGCCCAUGGCCCCGGUCGUCUCAAUCUCACCAAAUGAAAUUCAACAAGUUCACAUAGUGACACCCAAUGUCAUUUUGAUCCACUAGAGUUAUUAAGCCACCAGUUUAAUGCCCAAUUAAUCAGUUCAUUACCUAUUAUAACUAAAUGAGUCAACAGUGCCUUGAAAACAAAUAGGCAAGUCAUAGCAUGAAUUCAUUUUUUAAAAACAAAAUGCAACUGAAACUCAACUUUGUUCUUAUCUAAUGGAUCAAUCAUCGUGAGUCCUUUACACCCCUAUAUCAACAUUCUAAUUUGACAUUUGUAUGACUGUUAUUAUUAUUUUAGGCGAUGGCCAUUAAUGUAAGCAAACUAUCACAGUAAGCAUAGAAUUCCACUGAACUGACUAACUAAUGCCAAUACUCAGUUAAUGAUUUGAAUAACUUCUGAACACAAAUCCUCGGACUACGUAAACGGUCUGUAUAAAUGAUAGCUAACACAGUCCAAUUUCAGUCCAGAUUGCACAACAGUCCAUUCGAAUCUAGUUCACAUGAUUACAAAACUAAUUCUAUCAUGUCUGCACUCGAUCACAACCAACGAAUUAAUAAAACAAAUGACAGAAGGCAUUUAGGAUGUAACAGAGGACAUUUAGCAGUAGAAUUAAUCUCAAUUCAUUUCAUGUUCGACUAAAAUCCUAUCAAGACAGAAUUAAACCAAAACUAAACUAAUAACCAAAUGGCCAACCCUUAAACAAAAUUAAGCAAUCAAGAAACCAAUAAUGCUAAACGGACAGAACAAGCAGAGGUUUUAAUCACUUUCAUCACUUUUUAUACUAAGCUGAUUAGAAUAAACAGCGAAUCAAACUUAAAACCUAUAUUAACCAAACAAAACACAACGAACAGAGAUUAACCCUCAAGCAGACGGUCCCGGAAUCAAUCCGGGAUUCCAACUUAAACUAAUGUGAAAGAGAAGAAGAGGAAGAAAUAAACAAAAGGAACUUACCCAGAAGCCUCUAAUGUUUUUCCUCAGAUUCUUAAUUCGAACGAGUCCUAUGGGAAUUGAGCGCCAUUGUCGCUGAAUUCAGCAAGAGGGAAGCCAAGGCAUCAUACGGUGUCAAUUUGGAGCGAUUUAGGGCAGUUAGGGUUUUGGUCGGAAAAAUUCAAAUUGAAAUUCGAACAGUUCCAGCCAAGUUCGAGGAGUAAGUCUUAGGUCAUUGGAAAUAGGGAAUGGAGGAGAUUCACUGAUGUAAAUUUGGGGUGAUUUGGAGAAAGUUGCGACAUGGCCGGAAAAAAACUUCGAUCCAAUAUUCGAAAUUUUGACUUUCAAUCGCAAAAAGAGGAUUAUGGAUCCAGAGAGAGGAGGAGACGGGGAAUCUAGGGUGUAUUUUUGGGUGGGAAGGAAGCCGUCCGCAACGUGGGUGAUUUUCGGCGGCGGAGCCGGUGAAGUAAAGAGAUACGAGGAAGAUGAUCCUUGUCUGUUAGGGAUGAACGAUUUUAGGACAGUCUUAUUUGAUUAACGAAAUAACAUCAGGGCUAUUGGAUCAUGGAGAUGGAUGGCCAGGAUUGAAAUGGGUCAUUUGGUUCUAGGGAGGGGGAUGGACCGGACAUUAUGGGAUUUG